AGUGAACGCUGGCGGUAGGCCUAACACAUGCAAGUCGAACGGCAGCACAGUAAGAGCUUGCUCUUACGGGUGGCGAGUGGCGGACGGGUGAGGAAUACAUCGGAAUCUACUUUUUCGUGGGGGAUAACGUAGGGAAACUUACGCUAAUACCGCAUACGACCUACGGGUGAAAGCAGGGGAUCUUCGGACCUUUCGCGAUUGAAUGAGCCGAUGUCGGAUUAGCUAGUUGGCGGGGUAAAGGCCCACCAAGGCGACGAUCCGUAGCUGGUCUGAGAGGAUGAUCAGCCACACUGGAACUGAGACACGGUCCAGACUCCUACGGGAGGCAGCAGUAGGGAAUCUUCGACAAUGGGCGCAAGCCUGAUCCAGCCAUGCCGCGUGGGUGAAGAAGGCCUUCGGGUUGUAAAGCCCUUUUGUUGGGAAAGAAAAGCAGCAUGUUAAUACCCCGCUGUUCUGACGGUACCCAAAGAAUAAGCACCGGCUAACUUCGUG
rnacentral:rRNA from 1 species